UGGGGAAUAUUGCGCAAUGGGCGAAAGCCUGACGCAGCGACGCCGCGUGAGGGAUGAAGGUUUUCGGAUCGUAAACCUCUGUCAGAAGGGAAGAAACCGCACUGUGCUAAUCAGCAGUGCCUUGACGGUACCUUCAAAGGAAGCACCGGCUAACUCCGUGCCAGCAGCCGCGGUAAUACGGAGGGUGCAAGCGUUAAUCGGAAUUACUGGGCGUAAAGCGCACGUAGGCUGCUUUGUAAGUCAGGGGUGAAAUCCCACGGCUCAACCGUGGAACUGCCUUUGAUACUGCUUAGCUUGAAUCCGGGAGAGGGUGGCGGAAUUCCAGGUGUAGGAGUGAAAUCCGUAGAUAUCUGGAGGAACAUCAGUGGCGUAGGCGGCCACCUGGACCGGUAUUGACGCUGAGGUGCGAAAGCGUGGGGAGCAAACAGG
rnacentral:rRNA from 1 species